rnacentral:rRNA from 1 species
CCUACGGGUGGCAGCAGUGGGGAAUAUUGGGCAAUGGGCGCAAGCCUGACCCAGCAACGCCGCGUGAAGGAAGAAGGCUUUCGGGUUGUAAACUUCUUUUAUCAGGGACGAAGCAAGUGACGGUACCUGAUGAAUAAGCCACGGCUAACUACGUGCCAGCAGCCGCGGUAAUACGUAGGUGGCAAGCGUUAUCCGGAUUUACUGGGUGUAAAGGGCGUGUAGGUGGGAGUGCAAGUCAGAUGUGAAAACUAUGGGCUCAACCCAUAGCCUGCAUUUGAAACUGUACUUCUUGAGUGCUGGAGAGGCAAUCGGAAUUCCGGGUGUAGCGGUGAAAUGAGUAGAUAUACGGAGGAACACCAGGGGCGAAGGCGGAUUGCUGGACAGUAACUGACGCUGAGGCGCGAAAGCGUGGGGAGCAAACAGGAGUAGAUACCCGAGUAGUC